UGUACCCUGCGGUGUGCGUGAUUGCCUUGCAAGGUCCUGACCCAACACCAAUUCAGCGGGAGGCGGGUGCGUCGGUGGAACGCGAUAGCCAUGGGGCAAGGCGGGAAGCCGACCCGAGCCUCCCACCUGCGAAAGCAGGAUCAGGACCACUCGGCACACGGCACCGCGGGGCCGC
rnacentral:other from 1 species